AGUGAACGCUGGCGGUAGGCCUAACACAUGCAAGUCGAACGGCAGCACAGUAAGAGCUUGCUCUUACGGGUGGCGAGUGGCGGACGGGUGAGGAAUACAUCGGAAUCUACUUUUUCGUGGGGGAUAACGUAGGGAAACUUACGCUAAUACCGCAUACGACCUACGGGUGAAAGCAGGGGAUCUUCGGACCUUGCGCGAUUGAAUGAGCCGAUGUCGGAUUAGCUAGUUGGCGGGGUAAAGGCCCACCAAGGCGACGAUCCGUAGCUGGUCUGAGAGGAUGAUCAGCCUCACUGGAACUGAGACACGGUCCAGACUCCCACGGGAGGCAGCAGUGGGGAAUAUUGGACAAUGGGCGCAAGCCUGAUCCAGCCAUACCGCGUGGGUGAAGAAGGCCUUCGGGUUGUAAAGCCCUUUUGUUGGGAAAGAAAAGCAGCAGGUUAAUACCCCGCUGUUCUGACGGUACCCAAAGAAUAAGCACCGGCUAACUUCGUG
rnacentral:rRNA from 1 species